rnacentral:rRNA from 1 species
CAGGAUUAGAUACCCUGGUAGUCCACGCUGUAAACGAUGAGUGCUGAAUGUGGGGGCGUUUUGUCUCUGUGUUGUAGCUAACGCGUUAAGCACUCCGCCUGGGGACUACGGUCGCAAGACUAAAACUCAAAGGAAUUGACGGGGACCCGCACAAGCGGUGGAGCAUGUGGUUUAAUUCGAUGCAACGCGAAGAACCUUACCACUUCUUGACAUGGAGAUUAGAUCCUUCUUAACAGAAGGGCGCAGUUCGGCUGGAUCUCGCACAGGUGCUGCAUGGCUGUCGUCAGCUCGUGUCGUGAGAUGUUGGGUUAAGUCCCGCAACGAGCGUAACCCUCAUCCUUAGUUGCCAGCGGGUUAAGCCGGGCACUUUAAGGAGACUGCCAGUGGUAAACUGGAGGAAGGUGGGGAUGAUGUCAAGUCAGCACGGCCCUUAUGGGGUGGGCUACACACGUGCUACAAUGGUGACUACAAUAGGUUGCAAUGUCGCAAGGCUGAGCUAAUCCGUAAAAGUCAUCUCAGUUCGGAUUGUCCUCUGCAACUCGAGGGCAUGAAGUCGGAAUCGCUAGUAAUCGUGGAUCAGCAUGCCACGGUGAAUACGUUCUCGGGUCUUGUACACACUGCCCGUCACGCCAUGGGAAUUGGCUUAACUC